UGGGGAAUAUUGCACAAUGGGCGAAAGCCUGAUGCAGCAACGCCGCGUGAGCGAUGAAGGCCUUUGGGUCGUAAAGCUCUGUCCUUGGGGAAGAAACAAAUGACGGUACCCUUGGAGGAAGCCCCGGCUAACUACGUGCCAGCAGCCGCGGUAAUACGUAGGGGGCAAGCGUUAUCCGGAAUUAUUGGGCGUAAAGGGUGCGUAGGUGGUCUGAUAAGCGUGGGGUGAAAGGCAAUGGCUUAACCAUUGUAAGCCUUGCGAACUGUCAGACUUGAGUGCAGGAGAGGAAAGCGGAAUUCCUAGUGUAGCGGUGAAAUGCGUAGAUAUUAGGAGGAACACCAGUGGCGAAGGCGGCUUUCUGGACUGUAACUGACACUGAGGCACGAAAGCGUGGGGAGCAAACA
rnacentral:rRNA from 1 species